CAAUGCCUUUUACCGGCGAGAAAUUAUUGCGUCAUUGGCAAGAUGGCGGACGAGCGUCGUCAACUCCUUCGUUGCUGAUACUUGAUAAUUAAUGGACUAUUAUUUCUCCCAGGAAGGACAUCUGUGACGAGGUCGGGAUGUUUCGGCGCUCGAGAUUCAGCGUUCGUCCCAAUGUGGGCGGACCUGGAAGGACGGGAGCCGCGCCGCAGGAAGCCACUCCAGGGGGUAAGGAGGUCAGCCAGGCCCCCAAAGCCAUCAGCGAGGGUGCGCCUUUACCCACAGUGGAUGACAACAAGCCUGUGCCCACAGUGGAUGACAACAAGCCUGUGGACACUCCUGUGGCUGCACCUAUCGCCUUAGGCGAUGGAAACGAGCCAAGUGGGGAAGCCUCGUCAGCUGCCGUCCAGAGGAGGAAGCGCUUCUCUGUCAAGCCCAGAGUGGCCCCGGGUCGCCCCUCCAUUGUCCCUCGAGUGCCCAAGUCCCCCGCCAAGUUGGUCCCUGAGAGUCCGGCAAAGGUCUCAGAACUUGGGUCGACAACAUCAAAUGAAGCUAAAAGUCCAGCAGCCACACCCCUGACCCCAUCUUCCCCCACGCCCACGCCAGACAGCAAGCUACCUCACGUGCAACCCACCCUUGCCCCGCCUGAGGGGUGUGCUGACGCCCUAAAAGAAGUCCCCCCGCUGCCAGACCUUGGCAAACAGGCAGAGAAGAGCCCCAACAGUUCGAUUAAGGUUCCUCACAGACCGCUGGAUAAAGUUUCUCUGCCAGACAGAGAGGCUGCUGAACUGUCAGAGAAGGCCAAGACUCUUCUGUCGUCCAAGACCAAGAAGUCCAUUGCCAGAUUCUCCCUGAGCCGACUUUUAAACGACCCUUCAGAUAUCCAGAGGCUGGAAAAUGCCCAGAAACUACGGGAUCUGCUCAGACAGGAGAUGCGGAAAGAAAAAGGUAUCAAGAAGCGGAAGAAGCCCAUAAAGGAAUUUAGUGUGGAUCCUACCAAAAUGACUAUGAGGGACCUCAUCCGGUACUUACCGCUAUCUAACCCCAUGUCAUCCAGUUUAGAGGACGACACUGAGCAAAACGAGACCGUGACUCCGUUUACUCCAAGAAUGGAAAUACUGCCAGAGAGAGCACAGGAACCGGAACCGGAACCGGAAGCAGAAGUUGUCCCCGCGGCGGUGAACCAAACGGAGGAGGAAGCGGAGGACGUUGAGGGGACAGGCCAGGGUGACGAGGAAGACGACGCACUGAUGGUUCCGCAGGUCAAAGUUGCAGAAGAUGGAACCCUGAUCCUGGACGAGGAGAGUUUGACUGUGGAGGUCCAGAGAGCCAAAGGACCCAACCCGGCAGAGGACAGAGACCCCAUCUUUGAACGUGGCUCCACCACCACGUACUCCAGCUUCAGGGCCUCCACCUACUGCAAGCCUUGGUCCAGCGAAGAGACAGACAUGUUCUUCCUGGCUAUCAGCAUGGUGGGGACAGACUUCUCCAUGAUCUGUCAGCUCUUUCACAACAGAACGCGGUCGGAGAUAAGGAACAAGUUUAAGAAAGAGGAGAAACAAAACUCCUGGAGAGUCGACAAAGCUUUUCGAGAGAGACGCAAACUGGACAUUGAGUAUUUUUCCAAGCUGCUAGAGAAGAUACUGGAAGUGCAGCAAAACCGGAAGAAACUCAAGUCACUGGUGGUGAAGAACCCCCCCAAGAAGAGCCAGGGGAAGUCAAAAGGCCGAAAGAGGAAGAAAGCUGCUGGCAAGCUCAGCGCCAGCGAGGAGGAAGACGAGGUGGAAGAGGACAGCCUCUUAUGCUCGGAGGCGGAGGACGGAGAGAAAGAGAACGAAGGAGGAACCCUGUCCUCUAAAGCCAAGAAGAAACUGAAAAGUAAGGUGGACGCCUCUGCUGCAAAGCCGGCAAAGAAGAAAAGUAAAACGAGUGAAAAGAGCAGCAAAGAAGGCGAAGAUGAGGCCUGCGUGCCCGAGGACACGGAAGUAGCCCUUCCUGAAGAUCAUGCUGACUCGGAAGUGUGUGAAAGUGCAGUGACGGAAAAAACAUCCAACGGAGCCACGGUCACACCCGCUAAGCUCCCCCGAGGAAAGUGCAGUAAAAAGCUCCCUCUCUCGCCUACCGCGGCAGCAGAAGAUGGAGACAGGGAGUCCGCUGAACCGGACGAGAGUGUGAAGGACGACGCCUCGAAAGACCAGGUCAACAAAGAGGCAUUACCUUCAAGAGAAGCCAGCGAUAAUGAUGUUGAUGACUCCUGUAGCGAUGAAGACUCUGGAGAUGAAGAUUACUCCGUUAAACCUGCGAAGCCCACCAGAUCUGGGAGGAUCCCCAAACCUACUACACUCUUAAGUUACCCUGCGCCCUCCACUCGGACCGCCCCCAAGAGGGACAGAACAACAAAGGCAUCGUCUGCUGCCCCAUCGUCGAAAAAGCCCAAACUUGUUAUGCUGAGAGCGACUCAGUCCGAAUCAAGUGCGGAGGAGGAUGGGCAGGAGUUGGAGGAUGAAGAAAUGAAGGAGCUGUGGUCUGACGGCAGCACUCAGGCGUUUGUGCCCGCCAGCCUGCGCUCCCCCCACCCCGUCAUAUGCCAGGUUGAGGAAGCAGUAGAGGAGCUCGAUAUCUUGGCGGAUAUGUCUGUCUUGGACAUGUCCCAAGAUGAACUGUGCCUCAACUCGUCGUGCGAACAAGCCCAAAUUGAGACCGGAUCAAGAGAAACUUCUGCGCAUCAGCUGGACCUUCUGGUUGAUGUCAUAGACUUACUUUCCUCUGAGCACGCUGGAGUGUCUGAGGUGGAGAGCUACAAUGAGGCUGCUCAAACCCUGCUGGCUAUCGGCAAUGUGUCUCAUCUCUCGCAUUCAGACACCACGCAAGGCUUACCGUCGGACAGUGGAAAUGAAACAAGUAGACGUUUGGAAGAGGAAAUUGUUGCGGAGUUCAUUGAAGAAAACACCUCCACGCCAAUUAUUUCUGUACCUUUAGACCAGGAAGAGACGGAUGCAUUUGAAACUGCCCCUGUUGGGCCAAGAAACACAGAGUCCUCACCUCACGUUGGUGUGGAGACAUGCUGUGAACUGAGACACGUUUCAGAUCAUGACUUAACCCGACCCUUGCAAUCAAACACACCGACCAGAAUAGCUCGCUCAUCCAAAGUUAAACCAAAACCUAACUUGGCCAAAGCCUCAAGAGCUGCACAUUCCAAAACUCAACCAGAAACAUCAUCACAAGGGUCAAUUAUGGUGAGCGAUAGUGUUGCUCCUGACCUUUUGAAAGACCCCUCUGAAGAACCGUCCUCAAAGAUAGCAAAAUGUAGUCAAUCUUCCGAAAAACAGACGUUUGACAUGGAUGCCAUGUCUACAGAUGCUGAAACAAGUGAAAGCGCAGCAUCUGAUGCUGCAGUCACAGAAACACUAGCUCAAGAGUCAGGUAGCGAUUAUGUUGCCUUACCAGUUGUACAUGAAGAUCAGAACUCUAGCAAACCCCCGUCGUCUCGACCCACCAGGACCACAACAAGUAAGGUAGAAGAACCACAGCCAACUUGUACUUUCUCUCCGAAGAAAAUCAGUCCUAGUGUCAAUUCUUUUUCAUCUGCGACAACUACCCUGAGUUUGAGCUCUAAUCUGGUAGAGGAACUGGCUUCUAGUGAGAUAGCAAAAUGGAGUCAAUUUUCUAAAAAACAAAAUUUUGAAAUGGAUGCCAAGUUUUCAAACGCUGAAACAAGUGAAAGCGCAGCAUCUGAGACUGCAGUCACAGAAACACUAGCUCAAGAGUCAGGUAGCGAUUAUGUUGCCAUACCAGUUGUACAUGAAGAUCAGAACUCUAGCGAACACCUGUCAUCUGGACCCACCAGGACCACAACAAGUAAGGUAGAACCACAGCCAACUUGUACUUCCUCUCCCAAGAAAAUCAGUCCGGAUGCCAAUUUUUCUUCAUCUGAGACAACAAUCAUGAGUUUGCGUUCUAAUCUGGUAGAGGAACUGGCUUCUAGUGCAACGAAGAAUACAUGUACAAGACUUGAUAAUCAACUUAGUAGUGAAUCAAAACCCACGGAUGCUGAAAAGAAAAAGGUUGAUUGUAGUCCAAAUGAAGCGGCAGCAUUUGAUGAUGCAGUCACAGAACCACUAACUCAAGAGUCAAACAUGCAUUUGAUCCAAAAAGGUGAAGAUAAUGGCGCCAUGAUAGAGGUACAUGAAGGUCAGACCUCUCGCGAACAUAAUUCAUCUCCACCCUUUAAGAGGAAUCGAUUCCACCGAGUCAAACCAAAACCAAACCUUUCCCAGAUAUCAAAAAGUGCACGUUCUAAACCUCAAACCACAAAAGAGACUAGUGAUUCUUCAAAGCUGGAAUCAACUUCAGCGCCGACAAGUACGGUAAAACCACAGCCAACUUGUACCUUCUCUCCUACGAAAACAAAUCCAAGUGCCAAUUCUGCUUCAUCUGUGACAACAGCCAUGGACGUUUGCCCUAAUCUGUUACCUCCAGAAGAACUGACUUCUGGUGAGAUAGUGACAAGUACUGAAAAUGAUAAACAGCUCAGUAUUGAAGAAAUAGCCACAGAUGCUGAACAUAUUGAAUUUGGUUCAAAUGAAGAUGCAGCAGCUGAUGAUGCAGUCGCAGAACCACUAGCUCAAGAGUCCAGCAUGUCUUUGAUCCAAAAAGGUGGAUUUAAUGACAACGUGCCAGAGGCACAUGAAGGUCAGGACUCUAGCGAACUCCAGUCAUCUCCACACUUUAGGAGGAAUCGAUUCCACCGAGUCAAACCAAAACCAAACCUUUCACAGAUAUCAAAAAGUGCACGGUCUAAACCUCAAGCCACAAAAGAGACGAGUGAUUCUUCAAAGCUGGAAUCAACUUCGGCGCCGACAAGUAUGGUAAAACCACAGCCAACGUGUACAUUCUCUUCUGAGAAAAAAAGUCAAUGCACCGAUUCUGCUUCAUCUGUGUUAACAACCAUGAACCCCAGCUCUAAUUUGGUACCUACAGAAGAACUGACUUUUAGUGAGAUAGAGACAAGUACUGGAUGUGAUGAUCAGCUUAGUAGUGAACCAAAAUCCACAGAUGCCGAAAAGAUUGAAUAUGGUGCAAACAAAGAGGCAGCAUCUGAUGAUACAGUCACAGAACCACUAGCUCAAAAGUCAAGCAUGCCGUUGAUCCAAAAAGGUGGAUUUGAGGAUGAAAUGCCAGAGGUACAUGAAGGUCAGAACUCUAGAGAACUCCAUUCAUCUCCACUUUUAAAGAGAAAUCGAUUUCAACGAGUCAAACCAAAACCAAACCUUACACAGAUAUCAAAAAGAAAACUGUCUGAACCUCAAGUCAAUGAAGAGACUAGUCAAUCUUCAAAGCUGGAAUCAACUGGGACGACAACAAGUAAGGUAGAACCACAGCCAACUUGUAUCUUCUCUCCAGAGAAAACAGGUCAAAGUGCCGAUUCUGCUUCAUUUGUGACAACAACCAUGAACUUGAGCUCUGAUCAGGUAUCUACAGAGGAACUGGCUUCUAGUGCGAUGAAGAAUACAGGUACAAGACUUGCUAAUCAGCUUAGUAGUGAACCAAAAACCAUGAAUGCUGAAAAGAAAAAGGUUGAAUGUAGUCCAAAUAAAGACGCAGCAUCUGAUGAUGCAGUCACAGAACAACUAGCUCAAGAGUCAAGCAUGCCUUUGGUACAAGAAUGUGAAAUUAAUGACUCCAUGCUAGAGGUACAUGAAGGUCAGAACUCUAGCGAAGUCCAGUCAUCACAACCCUUUAGAAGGAAUCGAUUCCACCGAUUCAAACCAAAACCUAAUCUUUCACACAUAUCAAAAGGUGCACGGUCCAAACCUCAAGCCCCAAAUGAGACCAGUCAGUCUUCAAAACUCGAAUCAACUUCGACGACAACAAUUACCUCCCUUGCUGAGGAAGCAACUGCAAGUGCCGAUUCUGCAUCAUUUGUUACAACAGCCAUGAACUUCAGCCCUAUUCAGGUAUCUAAAGAGGAACUGUCUUCUAGUGAGGUGAAUACAAGUACUCGGCUUUCUAAUCAGCUCAGCAGUGAGCCAAAACCCACAGAUGGCGAAAAUAUUGAAUUUGGUCCUCAUAAAGCGGCAGCAUCUGGUGAUGCAGUCACAGAACUGCUAGCUCAGGAGUCAAAGACGUGUUCAAUCCAAGAAAGUAGAGGUCAUGACGCCUUGCCAGAGGUUUAUGCAUGUCAGAGCUUGAGUGAACCCUCGCAAUUACAGCCCACCAAGAGGAAUCGAUUCCAAAGGGUCAAACCAAAACCAAACCUUUCACAGAUAUCAAAAAGUGCACGGUCUAAACCUCAAAGCACAAAAGAAACAAUUAUGUCUACAAAUCUGGAAUGCACCGGCAAAAUAACAACUGAAGUAGAACCACAACCAACUUGUACUUUCUCCCCAGAGAAACCAAGCCCAAAAGAGUCAGCUUUGAUACCAUCCAUGGAUUCUAGCACCAGUUUGGUUCCUAGAGCGGAACUAACUUCUAGUCAGGAGAAGAAGGCAGUUGAACUUGCUCACCAGGAAGAGUCUAGUUUACCAGUGGUGGAUGCGAGUAAAGAAAACACAGGAGUCAAAGAAGCAAUAUUUGGAGCUGCAAAUGAGACUGUGAGGUUUGAUGCAGAAGUAACUCAGAGUUCUUCUAAUAAUGUGGUACCAUCAGAUACAACCCUAGACUGUCCGGGUGGAGUUGGAGCUAAUGCAAACCAGUCUACAAUUCACAAAGUUAGCAACCAUUUGGAAAAAGUCUCAAAAUCCGACUUAAAGUGUGAAUCUUCUGACGACCGAAGCGUUGAAGCUGAAUCACCAGCAACCUCUGAGAUGAGUCAAAGUGUCACUUCGCCAUUGGAAAUAUGUCUUGCAUAUCAGCCUACAGAAGACUUGUCAUCGUCCAGUGAUAAAAACAAGGAAGCUGACUCAGGAACAAGUCAAAGACGGCAAUGCCUCCCCAAAGUCAAACCCGCUCUGAGGUUCCCCGCCAGAGCGAUACGCUCAACAUCACAGUCAAAAGAUGGUGGCGAAUCCUUUAGUAGAACCUCAGAAUGUCAUGUAGUAGAAAAAAAGAGUGCAGGCCCACGUUUUGAAAUUGAUGAGAAAGUUGUCAUGGAAACUGAAGAAAAGAGCAACGAAGAAGUCUACAAGGCUCCUUGUCAGGACAAAAAGGAGGAUAUUAACUACUUGAAAUCUGAUGACCAAAAUAUUGCUGCUGCCCCCUCAAACACACAGCUGCUUUGUCAAGAUACUGUCCCGGAACAUUCUAAAACUCUACAAACCAAUAAAAUGAUGACAGAGACACAGCCCCUUCAAAAAGCUAACGAGCCGCCCUUGCCAAAAACCACCACAACUAGAAGAAGCAGACUUGUUAAACCCAAACCCAACCUUGGAAAAAGUGGUCGACAAGCCCGACAAGUGGCAGCCAAAGCAGAUUCAGAUGCUGUCAGAGCGCCUGCUUCUCAAGAGAUCUUGCCUGAGCCCGUCAAGCCAGUAGAGGGUGCUAUUGGGCCAUCGGCAAUGGAGUGUACCACCCAGGGUGAAUCCACGUCGAGCACUGGACAGGAGCAGACUUUUGCAAGUCUCUCGAUACUUCAAGACGCACUGUCAGUACCCUCGGAUCCCGACGAGCCGUUUUUCAUCCUAUCCCUGACUGAGAUCCCCGUUGACGCCGUGGAGGAGGUGUUGAACCCCAGCGCCCAGCUGCCUCCUUUCAUCUGUGACCCAAAUCAGUCAGUGCAGCAAAGUCUUGCUGUGGAGAAUGUGAGAGCAGGUCCAGAUGGUUCCACGCCUGAUGUCCUCGUGUCCGCCGAAGAGACGGCAACCACCAUGACUCCAGCCAUUGUGGAUCCUCUCGCCCCACCAGAGCGCCACCAGGCGUGUGCUUCGGCCGGACCGUCGAGCACAGCAAGUUCUCCCAAAAGCCGACUAGAGCCACACACCCCAGACUCAACUUUGACUUGAUGAGUUGCGAGCUUGUCCCUCUUGAAGAGGUUAGAGCCUAUCGCAGCUGCACUCGGGCGGAAAGUGGUGCCAAACAACACAGCAAGACCACUGGAAGACAUCAGCGGAAGACAGUUUUUAUUGUUCAUGUUUUUAAAUGUCAUCAAUUUUGUUUAACAAUCAUCAGUAUGAUUGGAUUUUUAUUCUGACCUUUGGAAAUGUUUAGAUCCUCCCCAAGUAUGUAAAGUACACUAUUUAUUUAUGUAUUUAUUGUGGGCCCUUCGUAGUGAUGCAAAAUGUACUGAUUGAAGAAUGUCAUUAGAGAUCAAAACGAACAGGGGAAGAACAAACAUAACAUGUAAAGUCAAUUUGACUCUGAACUGCGGUGUAAUUAAAAACAAGUUUUAAAUGUGUCAUUUUACUUCAAUCAAUAACGGAGCAGCAUCUCCUCAUCCGGAACCAACAAGGCCGUGAAAAACGGUCCGACUGGAACUCUCUAAUAACUAAAGUUCCUUGGGUGAAUAACGUCAACUCACUACACCGGUAUGUUUUAGUGCUUUCAUGGCGAGUUUACUGACAGAUAUAAGUCAAUCAAUCAAUCAAUGUUUACUUAUAUAGCCCUAAAUCACUAGUGUCUCAAAGGGCUGCACAAACCACUACGACAUCCUCGGUAGGCCCACAUAAGGGCAAGGAAAACUCACACCCAGUGGGACAUCGGUGACAAUAAUGACUAUGAGAACCUUGGAGAGGAGGAAAGCAAUGGAUGUCGAGCGGGUCUAACAUGAUACUGUGAAAGUUCAAUCCAUAAUGGAUCCAACACAGUUGCGAGAGUCCAGUCCAAAGCGGAUCCAACAUAGCAGCGAGAGUCCCGUUCACAGCGGAGCCAGCAGGAAACCAUCCCAAGCGGAGGCGGAUCAGCAGCGCAGAGAUGUCCCCAGCCGAUACACAGGCAAGCAGUACAUGGCCACCGGAUCGGACCGGACCCCCUCCACAAAGGAGAGUGGGACAUAGAAGAAAAAGAAAAGAAACGGCAGAUCAACUGGUCUAAAAAGGGAGUCUAUUUAAAGGCUAGAGUAUACAAAUGAGUUUUAAGGUGAGACUUAAAUGCUUCUACUGAGGUGGCAUCUCGAACUGUUACCGGGAGGGCAUUCCAGAGUACUGGAGCCCGAAAUGAAAAAGCUCUAUAGCUCGCAGACUUUUUUUGGGCUUUGGGAAUCACUAAUAAGCCGGAGUCCUUUGAACGCAGAUUCCUUUACACUAUUUUAUAUUAGAAAUGGCAACAAUGGAGGAUGAAUGUCACCUAACAAGAAGAUAGAGGAAAAGAAGAAGAAGAUAUGACUACAAUGGCGGACACGUGCACAUUUUCGGGACUUAUGCAGAUCCGUAAUACUGAUCAGCAGGUACCAGAAGGUAGGAAAAAAUGCUUUCGCAUAAUAUUGCGCAACAAAACGCCAAAUAAUAUGUCUGCCAAUGGGUGCCAUUUUGCGGUCCUUAUAUACACACCAUAAUAAUAUUUAUGCCGUAAUGUGCCGACAAUCCAUCAAGCUGUGCGGCUUCAAAGUCCUACUAAAACAUUUUGACAGAUUUUUGAGUGUCGUGUGUAAUGUUCUUUAUUUUCAAUGGAACAUGUAAAGUUUUGGUGUUGUUUACUGGCCUCAUAAUGCAGUCUACACGUGUCUCUUAUGUGUGAAUGCCAUCUACUGGUCAGACGUAUCAUUACACCAUGUACCAAAUAAAAUUGCUUCGAGGUCAGUAAGCACGACCAGAAUUAUUCCGUACAUUAAGCGCACUGGGUUAUAAAGCGCACUGUCGAAAUGAUUUUAAGUGCGCCUUAUAGUCCAGGGGAAGAGCAAACAACAUGUAAAGUAAAUUUGACUCUGAACUGCAGUGUAAUUAAAAACAACUUUAAAAUGUG